rnacentral:lncRNA from 1 species
GGCUGGGCUAUGUAGUUCUGGGAUUCUGAAGGUGAACACUGCCUCAAUAACUUAGGGUCAGUAAAGGAGCCAGCCAGCAGCCAGACUUUCCUCAGUCCCUUCCUCAGAGCCCAUGCACAAGGAGUCACUUUGUUUUCUGAUUAGCCAAGCUGCCAUGUUGCCUAAAAACCAGACUGGAAAGAACAUUCAUUGUACAGCUGAGCAUAUUGUGUGAUUGAGUGAGAAAAGAACAGCAACAAGAUGCUCUGCCUCUCGUCAACUGUAGGAAGCUGCAAAUUCAAGGCCAGUGACCAGGUUCACAAAAUGCAAUUGUUCUCAAUGACACUUAACAAAGAGCCAGGGAGAGAAUCGAUUGUCAUUAAAAGCUGGCCAAGAACAUCGAUCGUCUCCCCAGUGAUGGGAGGGAAUAUCUUGCUGUCAAAUGCUCCUGAAUACAAUUCCAACUCCUGCUCUGUCCUGCAUCUUGCUGUGGUUGGGGAAGAGGGUGCAAUGCUCUCAUUUAUAGUAUGCAGGCUAGGAUCUGAGCAGUAAGUCUUGUUCAUCCAACAUGACAGACACUGGGAAAUCAAUAGCCACAGAGAAACAUAGCAAGUGCUAGAAUGAAAGCAUGUUAACCACAAGGUACCUUGGUAGCAGGGAGUGGAGAAGUUGAACACAGAGGGAAGACAUGAAGACAUUCCAGAAAGGCAGAGAGGGUGGUCCAUGCGAAGCAACAGAAGGCACUAGGAACAUCCUGGGAACUGCAACUUACCAAGCAGCUGAGGCUCAGAGUGGGCCUGGGAGGGGAUGGGAGAUCAGACUGGAGGGCUGGCUGGGAGCUUAGCCAGAGCACAGGGCACAGCAUAGGACUUUAGGCAGGGGCACAGUGUCAGAUGGGUGAUUGGACGGUCAUCCUGGCUGCAGUGGGUUGUGGGGGAAUGGAUAAAAGAGGGGCAGGACCAGCGUGCUAGCCUGGGGGUUCCUGGUGCCCUCAGUUUCCUUCCUUGGCCUUCCUCUGCUC